GCCAUGUGCACUACGGGCGCUCACACUUUUCCCCAUCUAAUCGCCCUCACCUAGACCUGGGUGAUGUGGGGUGUGGGGUGCCAGAUUCCCCACACACCCCAACGAAGUGGAGCGAUGCAGGCAACCAUGUGACAAGGUCAUUAAUUCUUCCCCAAAACAAGAAGACAUGUAAUUAAAGAUGGAUUUCUAUACAAACAUUCCUGGAAGCAAGCCCCACUUAAUGUUUAUUUCUCCAUUUGUUGUUGUUAAUUGCUGUCGAGUCAGCUUUGACUUAAGUCAAUGGAUCCAAGAACUCCAAGACAUCUUGUCAUCGACAGCCCUAUUCAGAUUCUGUCAUCUCAGGACCUUGGCUUGUUUGAAUAAAUCCAGUGUCCUUCUUUA